GGAAGGAUCAUUACUGAUUUGGCGGACCGAGCGUCAGCGAGGUUCCGCGAUCGCCUGUAUUUAAAACCCACACUUUGAAUUAUGUAUAUUUUUUGUAUUUGUAAAAUGAUAAAAAAAGAUCACUUUCAACAACGGAUCUCUUGGCUCUCGCAUCGAUGAAGAACGUAGCGAAGUGCGAUAAGUAAUGUGAAUUGCAGAAUUCCGUGAAUCAUCGAAUCUUUGAACGCAAAUUGCACUCUCUGGUAUUCCGGAGAGUAUGCCUGUUUGAGGGUCAGUUAAAUAAAAAUCGGUGUUGUUGCUGCCUUGCGUGGUGACGCAUCGGAUUUGGGUCGUCUUACCUUCGGCUAAGUGACCUAAAAUUUUGUAUGAUUUUUCGAACGUAUUUAAAUUAUUUACGUACGUUUGUGAUAAUCGAACAUUAGGUGAGGUCAUUCUCAUGAUUCGCGCCUAUGAUUUCUCAUCAAAAUGACCUCAAAUCAGGUAAGAGUACCCGCUGAACUUAAGCAUAUCAAUAAGCGGAGGAAAAGAAAAUAACAAUGAUUCCCUUAGUAACGGCGAGUGAAGGGGGAUAAGCUCAAAUUUUAAAUCUGACUAGGUUUUACCUAUCAGAGUUGUAUUUUGAAGAAGCGUUUUCCGCGUCUCGGUUGGCCCAAGUCCUUUGGGAUAAGGUAUCAUGGAGGGUGAGAAUCCCGUUCGGUUGACCUUAUGACGCUUUACGAUACGCUUUCAAAGAGUCGAGUUGUUUGGGAUUGCAGCUCAAAAUGGGAGGUAAAUUUCUCCUAAGGCUAAAUAUCGGCGAGAGACCGAUAGCGAACAAGUACCGUGAGGGAAAGAUGAAAAGAACUUUGAAAAGAGAGUAAAAUAGUACGUGAAAUUGUUGAAAGGGAAACGAUUGAAGUCAGUCGUACCGACGAGAAAUCAGCUCUUCGAGUGCGAUCUUGUGGGCGUGCGUGAGUCUUUAACGGGCCUCGCUGUUUACAAUGUUUGUGCUUUUUGGGUGUACUUUUUCGUAUGGUAGGCCAACGUCAGUUUCGAUUACCGUAAAAUGAUCGGAGGAAUGUAGCUUCGAUCUCGUAUUGAAGUGUUAUAGCCUCUGGUAGAUGCGGUAAUUGAAACUGAGGAUUGCAACGAAUACCCUCUGGGCUAUCCGUCUGGCCUCUGAAAGUUGCUUAGGUGCUGAAAGCGUGCUUACGGCUAUUUAAGUUGACGGUCAACAGGUUAGAACGUGAUUACAUUCGUUAAGGACGUUGGCGUAAUGGCUUUAAACGACCCGUCUUGAAACACGGACCAAGGAGUCUAACAUAUAUGCGAGUGUUCGGGUGUUCAAACCCCUACGCGUAAUGAAAGUAAUUUUGGUGGGAUCACUCUUCUGUGUGCACCAUCGACCGAUCAGGAUAUUUUUUGAUAGAUUUGAGUAAGAGCAUAUCUGUUAGGACCCGAAAGAUGGUGAACUAUGCCUGAAUAGGGCGAAGUCAGAGGAAACUCUGAUGGAGGCUCGUAGCGGUUCUGACGUGCAAAUCGAUCGUCAAAUUUGGGUAUAGGGGCGAAAGACUAAUCGAACCAUCUAGUAGCUGGUUCCUGC
rnacentral:misc_RNA from 1 species